CAUAAAUUCUAAACUAAUUCAUUAUAAACAAAUUUAUACAAAAACUUAUCUUUUGACAUCAAAGAGAGAAAAAAAUAUGAGUAAAUUUCUCAAGUUUAUUUAUGUUAUUAUCAUUUUGAGUUUCCUAUUUUAUGUUGAAAGAGGUGUAAGCUCCGCAUCUCCUUUUUAUUGCGUUGAUGACGAUUAUUUUUGUUUUGGUUUGUGUCUUCCUCCUAUGAUAGAUCAUUGUACUCUUCGUGGUCAAUGUAUAUGUAUAACCAUUUCAACUGAAGUUGAAAGUUAAUUAUAUUUGUUUACCAAGUGUAUGAUUUUAUUUACAAAUCAUAAUAAUGUCGCUCCUAUGAUUACUUUUACAAAAAAUUAUUAAAUGUUACGUUAACAUUAUUUUUGGAACAAUUAAUUGUUUGUCUCUAAUCUGUUGCUUAGACUUUCAAACACAAAUCCAUGAAAAGGUCACGUUCUAUCCAACCUUGUCAUAGAUUAUGGCAUGAAGCUAAUGAUAUGAGAAUUAUUUCUACAUUUUACAUUUUAAUAAUUUGUAUUGGAGUGUUGUAGAUGUUUAUUGUUUUACAAGGACAAACAUAGUUUGAAUAUAAGUGAAAUGCUAAAUAUACAGAAAAAAUUUCAUACGUUCAUUAUUCUCAUGACUUGUUAUCUUGCAAUACUAUGAUGUUGUUGAUUUUGGAUAUUUGUUGUCUAUCAUGAAAGGUUAUAAAAGAGAUUAAAGGUAAUGAAAAGUUGAUAAAAUAUAUUUAUGUUAGAUUUUUUAUUGAGUGAUAUUAAGGGACAAACAUGACAAAUGAAUGUAUGUAAAAGACAAAAUCAUUUCUUGCAUCUCGAUUGGCUCUAAAAAAAUCCAUUAUAAAUAAAUUGAUAUAAACAUUUAUCUUUUUAACAUCAAAAGGAGAAAAAAAAAUAUGAUUAAGUUUCUCAAAUUUUUUUAUGCUACGAUCAUCUUGAUUUCCAUAUUUUUUGUUGUAAGGGAUGAAAGCUCUGAUUAUUGAACUAGAGGAAGUGAGAAGAUCCGCAUCAUCACACAAAGCAUCAAUCCUUGUCCAUUGAAAAUAUUUCCACCAGCUAAUCUUAGUGAAAACACAUUUCAAGAAUAAAUGCAUGCAAGUCUUGGUUUGUCUAAAACACAAAACAUAGGAUAGGAGGAACUAAAUCAAAUGGAUUUUUAUUUAUGUUCUCAACCAUAUGGAGAAACGAUUAUGGUAAAAUCAAAAUCUAGUUGCAAGAGUCGAUGCCGGUAAAAGAAAAAAAUCAAAUCAAAUGGAUUUUAGGAAAGAAGAGUUCCGGUAAUGGUAAUGGAAAUGCUCACCGUUGGGAAUGUUUCCACAAGGAGGUGAACAAAUGAAAGAGUGAUUGAGUUUUAUUUUAUAUAAAAGGUAAAUUUGGUACUUUUAUGUCAAAUGUUGGGGUGAGGGUAUAUAUGUAGGGGUACAAGGUAUA